rnacentral:tRNA from 1 species
GAGGGUAGAGCUCAGUGGUAGAGCUAUAUGCCUAGCAUGCACGAGGUCUGGGUUCAAUCCCCAGCACCUCUA